CUGGUGUGUACAGGGGGAAAGUUACCGAGCAGUGAUAUGUUCUCUUUGAGUCAAAUAGUUUUCUUGCAUUCCGAAUUCCAGCUUGACCAUUAGCAUUGGAUGCCAGCUUGGUUAUGUAAAAGAGUGAGCCAAUGCAAUUACAUCAUCCAAAGGUGGUGAUGUGAUCUAGAAGCAGCCACAUACAUUGUCUUUGUAAUCCACUGGGAACAUAGCAAACUUACACACACGUGUGCUGAACUAUGUAUAGAGGACACUAUAAUGGUAUAAUGAAAGAAGAGCAAAAUGUCAUCUUAUAAUGUUUACAUUCGCUAUGUAAGCAACAAAGCGCACAGUUUGAGGAUAUAUGUUGUAACAAUGUUUAUUUAAACCUGGAUGGUCAGGUGGUGCUGCUAUAAUUUGUACAGACACACCUGGAGUAACUCUGGCCAGUAUAUAUUUAAGAUGACGCUACAAUAAGUUUCCCUAUAGCUUGUGUUAACAUAAUUUAGAAUGUUGCAGCUUUUAUUAUGUAUUACAGGUUAAAAACGCACUGACUUAAUUUGUAUUUUUUGGGGUUUUCUUGAGGACUUUGGUAUGUGGCACACACAGUGUUCUUCUUGGUUGUUAUGCUGUGCCUCUACCAUUAAAGCUUUUCUAUGUUUUUUUGUUUUUUUUUUGAAAGAUUGAUGUUACUGUAAAUGCAUUGAUGGGUCCAAAUGUGACACUGAUCAGUCAGCUAAUUUUUAUAGUUGAGUUUUUGCAAGACUGCUAUUACUUCUUGCAUUAUUAUUUAGCUGAUUACUUUGACAAGUCAAGUCAAUUUUUACAAAGCUACCGGAUGUGCUGAACAGGAUAAAACACUACAGGCAUGUUCAGGUCUUUAAAUGCAACAUGGAUGUCUGUGGACUAUCCAUUAGAAUAGGAUGGGGUUGACGGUUCUUGACAUCAUUUGUGUAUUUUACGUUGUUUUGACUUGACUGCUACAAACAAUUAUUAUAUUGUGCUCACAUGAUUAUUCUGUUGGUGAUGGUACAACCACUUUAAGAUCCUUUUUUUUUUUUAGAUUUGAAUUAGGGCUCUAUGCCCUAAUUCAAAUGCAUGGUCAUGACCUGUAAGGAUCUGUAUGCCGAGACAUAUUCCACACUGCAUAUCUCUUCACUGACACAGGAGAACAGCAAUGCAUUAGAAUAUCUCCAACCGACCAGUACAGUUUGUCUGUGGAGGAAUUAUAGAGAUUAGGAUAUGCAGCCAUCUGUAUCUCCUAUUAUCACAAGACAAAAUGCACCUAGGUUAUCUCAUAUUUCAGUGCCAGUUUGAUGGGAAACUAUAGUGUAUUUUUGGUCAGCAAAUAAUUUAUUAUUGUAUUAUUAAAAAAAUGAAACACAGAGGCUUGCAUUGCAACUCUCCAUCUGAAAAAGCUAGUUGCCUAUAUUGCGGAGCCAAUCCUGGGCCAGAGUCAUUGAGCCAGAAUGAGUAUGCAGAUAAGGGCAAAUGUCCUUACCUUCGUACAAGUUAGUGACUUAAAUUCAAAGUCACCAGCCACACAACUAGCAUUUUCAGAAUAAGUCAGCAAUAGCAGUCUCCAUGUUCCUCUCAAGAAAGGUUUUAUUUAUAGUAAUUUUUUACAUUUUUUAAUGCCUUCGGUACCAUUUUUACAUUAUUGCUUGCUUUGUAGACACUUAUUUUAAUGUCUUUCAAUGGAAUUAUUCAACAGCUACUAAGAUCUUAAGUCAUGUUGACUGUGUUUUGUUGUCAAGUAGAACCUACUCCUAGGCUUGUAUUUUGAGAAGGUGGGGGAGGUAAAAACACAACCCUGGUGCAUCACUGUGUACUAAGCAAAUAGGGCUACCUAUACAGAAGGAAAUAUUUUUUAAAAACUUGUUUCUACGUAUUAAGUAUUUAUUUUUUAUUUUUUUAAUUAAGCAGGUGUAUAAAAAAUAUUAUUCUAGUUUCCCCUUAAAUGGCACACCAGGUGCAAGACAUCCUGCAGCUUUCUCAGAGAUAUCUACACCCCCGUCUGAUGCUCAUUAACAUGUUAUUUUGCAUGUUUCUCCCUCGUUUUGGAUGGGCUGCCAACACACCAGAAUACAAGAGACAUUCGAGAGAAAUACUUUUUUCCAGAGUAGCACAUCAUAACGCAUAGAUGGCUCCUAUCUGUGUUUUGUGGUAUGCCAAAAUGCCCCAUCAUCAAGGCAUGUUUUUACCAUGUUACCACAAGCAGUGGGAACUUAAACUUAACAACUCUGGUGCCAUUUGCUCUGAAUGGCAACCAAACACACCCUGAAAAAACAUGUUUCCAACCUAAAUUCUUAUGUAAAUCAUUACUUUUGCAACCCCUUUCAUUGCAUUUUUUUUUCAAGGUGAAAAUUAUUUUAUGUUUUACUGUUUUAGGAUAAUGUCAUUUAUUGUAUGAAGGCAUAAAAUUGUAACAUAUGGCAACACGUUUCUCCAGAAAAUUAAAAAAGUUAGAGAUAAGCCAAGAGUACUCUGUGAACAAAAUGCUCUGUAGUAAUGCGCAAAUUUAAUGUGAGAGAAUAACUAACUGACAAAAUGUUAGCAGUUACAAGUCAAGUUUUAAAUACUGUUACUGGAAUACUGUAUAGUACUAUACUCAUAGAGAUUACCUCAAUAAACUAAUAAAAACAUU